AUUGAACGCUGGCGGCAUGCCUUACACAUGCAAGUCGAACGGCAGCACGGGGCAACCUGGUGGCGAGUGGCGAACGGGUGAGUAAUGCAUCGGAACGUACCUUUCAGUGGGGGAUAACGUAGCGAAAGUUACGCUAAUACCGCAUAUUCUGUGAGCAGGAAAGCAGGGGAUCGCAAGACCUUGCGCUGAUUGAGCGGCCGAUGUCAGAUUAGCUAGUUGGUGAGGUAAAGGCUCACCAAGGCGACGAUCUGUAGCGGGUCUGAGAGGAUGAUCCGGCAAACUGGAACUGAGACACGGUCCAGACUCCUACGGGAGGCAGCAGUGGGGAAUUUUGGACAAUGGGGGCAACCCUGAUCCAGCCAUGCCGCGUGAGUGAAGAAGGCCUUCGGGUUGUAAAGCUCUUUCGGCCGGGAAGAAAUCGCACGGGCUAAUACCCUGUGUGGAUGACGGUACCGGAAUAAGAAGCACCGGCUAACUACGUGCCAGCAGCCGCCGUAACAC
rnacentral:rRNA from 1 species